AGAGUUUGAUCCUGGCUCAGAGCGAACGCUGGCGGCAGGCCUAACACAUGCAAGUCGAGCGCCCCGCAAGGGGAGCGGCAGACGGGAGAGUAACACGUGGGAACGUACCCUUUGGUUCGGAACAACCCAGGGAAACUUGGGCUAAUACCGGAUAAGCCCUUACGGGGAAAGGUUCAUCGCCGAAGGAUCGGCCCGCGUCUGAUUAGCUAGUUGGUGGGGUAAUGGCCCACCAAGGCGACGAUCAGUAGCUGGUCUGAGAGGAUGAUCAGCCUCACUGGGACUGAGACACGGCCCAGACUCCUACGGGAGGCAGCAGUGGGGAAUAUUGGACAAUGGGCGCAAGCCUGAUCCAGCCAUGCCGCGUGGGUGAUGAAGGCCCUAGGGUUGUAAAGCCCUUUCGGCGGGGAAGAUAAUGACGGUACCCGCAGAAGAAGCCCCGGCUAACUUCGUGCCAGCAGCCGCGGUA
rnacentral:rRNA from 1 species